AAAACUUUCAACAACGGAUCUCUUGGUUCUGGCAUCGAUGAAGAACGCAGCGAAAUGCGAUAAGUAAUGUGAAUUGCAGAAUUCAGUGAAUCAUCGAAUCUUUGAACGCACAUUGCGCCCGCCAGUACUCUGGCGGGCAUGCCUGUUCGAGCGUCAUUUCAACCCUCAAGCUCUGCUUGGUGUUGGGGAUCGGCGUAGCGCCCUCGGGCGUCGCCGUCCCCUAAAUCUAGUGGCGGUCCCGCUGUAGCCUUCUCUGCGUAGUAGUUUUCUCCUCGCACUGGAAUCUCGGCGGUGCCCUGCCGUAAAACCCCCAACUUACCGAAAUGUUGACCUCGAAUCAGGUAGGAAUACCCGCUGAACUUAAGCAUAUCAAUAAGCGGAGGAAAAGAAACCAACAGGGAUUGCCCUAGUAACGGCGAGUGAAGCGGCAACAGCUCAAAUUUGAAAUCUGGCCCUCGGGUCCGAGUUGUAAUUUGUAGAGGAUGCUUUUGGUGCGGUGCCUUCCGAGUUCCCUGGAACGGGACGCCAUAGAGGGUGAGAGCCCCGUCUGGUUGGACGCCAAUCCUAUGUAAAGCUCCUUCGACGAGUCGAGUAGUUUGGGAAUGCUGCUCUAAAUGGGAGGUAUAUGUCUUCUAAAGCUAAAUAUUGGCCAGAGACCGAUAGCGCACAAGUAGAGUGAUCGAAAGAUGAAAAGCACUUUGAAAAGAGAGUUAAAAAGCACGUGAAAUUGUUGAAAGGGAAGCGCUUAUGACCAGACUUGGGCUUGGUUGAUCAUCCGGCGUUCUCGCCGGUGCACUCUUCCGGUCCAGGCCAGCAUCAGUUUGCUUCGGGGGAUAAAGGCUUUGGGAAUGUGGCUCCCUCGGGAGUGUUAUAGCCCAUUGUGUAAUACCCUGGAGCGGACUGAGGUACGCGUUCUGCAAGGAUGCUGGCGUAAUGGUCAUCAGUGACCCGUCUUGAAACACGGACCAAGGAGUCGUCUUCGUAUGCGAGUGUUCGGGUGUCAAACCCCUACGCGUAAUGAAAGUGAACGCAGGUGAGAGCUUCGGCGCAUCAUCGACCGAUCCUGAUGUUCUCGGAUGGAUUUGAGUAAGAGCAUACGGGGCCGGACCCGAAAGAAGGUGAACUAUGCCUGUGUAGGGUGAAGCCAGAGGAAACUCUGGUGGAGGCUCGCAGCGGUUCUGACGUGCAAAUCGAUCGUCAAACAUGGGCAUGGG
rnacentral:rRNA from 1 species